CCUUCGCGCCAGCUGCGCCCCGUUUACGUCCACUCUUUGCGGGCAGGCACAGGGCACUUGGCCCUCCUGAGGGUCCCGCUUGGGGUGGUGGGGGUCUCAGGCAGGGCAUGAGCAGCUCAGCCUUGGCGGAGGGAAGGGAAGCCAUGAUUUUCAACUCUAGGACUGCGGAGGGGGAGCCAUGGAUACUCUGUCCCUUUAGGUGAGGAAGGAACUCAAGUCCUGACCCACAGCCCCCGCUGUGGACCCGAGGUCGGUGCUGGUGGCAGUGCGCCCCCAGCCAGCCAGAGCCCAGCCCCGGAGCCCCCACCUCCGCAGGGGCUGCGUGCGUUUUGGCCUGGACUUAACCCAGAUUUCGCCGUGAGCUCCAUGCCUACAGCAUAAGAAUGAAGUUGUCACUUCAGAUUUCAUGAUGAAAGAGAUGGCCUGUGUAUCCCCAGAUGCGGGGUGGGAAUAUUGGAGGAGGAGUUGCCAGGAGAUAAGGCUGGUCUUGCCUUGCACGUCGGGAGUCACCGCUGAACCCCAUCCUCCUCCCCCAAGUCACCCCGCCCUUUCGGGAGUCACCAGGCCCUCACUGAGUCACCGCUGAACCCCAUCCUCCUCCCCCAAGUCGCCCCGCCCUUUCUUUUUGACAGAUAAGGAAGCUGAAGCAGAGUGGGGCACUGACUUGCCCAGCAGGGAGGGGCAGCGCCACAGCAGGCCUUUCCUCCCUGCCCACGGAACCCCAGGACCUCGCUAGGAAUGUGCUCAGCUCCGGCCAGGGCGGCCCUUCGAUGUGUGGCCCCGGUCUCCCCUGGGGCCGCAAGAACAGGGACAAGUGAGAGGCUCCCAGAGGGAACCAAAUGGAAUCAACACUUACACAUACCGACUCCUCGGGCCAAGCGAUAAAGCUAAAACAAAAUUGCUCUGGGACGCGGCAAAUCUAUUGUCUUCUUUUGCAAUUGCUCUUGGCAGCGAAGGUCAGCAGCUGGGCUUUGACUAUUAGUGCGCUUUCAGUUUGCCCUCGUCUGACUGAGGGAGGCGCUCAGGCAGUGGGAUGAGAAUUGGCCUGUGCAUCUAAAGACCGGAGGAAGAAGGGUGCAGUGGAAGGUUUUCUUAGCAAGUUAUUUGAAGCAGUGAAAAUUCCUACUUCCGGUGAGGUUUGAGAGCAUGGGUAAGGAAAGACUCAUCUGUGAAAGCACUUUGCCUGGAAGGAGAUGCAGAAAAACAAGACCAAAAGUUGAAAAAUGAACAGGAGUGAGCAUCAACAAGAAUGCAGAGAGGGGAAACACACACCACACACACACCCACACACACACCACACACACACACACCACAUACACACUCACACACACCACACACACACACACACACACACACACACACACACGUGAACAUACCAAAUAGAAAGCUGUCACCCAUGUCAGGUGGUCCUCAGCCAGUCCCAACGGCUGUGGACAUGAGUCUCCACAGUGACAUACUGAGGAAUUUCAGUCUUAACAUCUGCAAGAACCACAGCGUGAUCGGGCCAGCAAACCACUAGCUGGCUCGUUUUGCUGGGAUUAUGGGUGGACAUUGUCUUUUUCCAUUUUUCUUUAAUGUGGUUACAUUUUAUAAUGAAAGAGUUUUUUUGUUUGUUUGUUUUUCUAUUUUUUAAAGAAGGACAAUCCAAGAUGAGUACACCUGUCAACAGUUUAGUGUGUGAUUUUUCGGGUAACAAAGGGAGUGCUCGCAGGAAGGAGAGCAAGGUUGUGGUUUAAAAAGAGAAGAGGCCACAGGGAAUUUCCCAUUUAUGGAAAUCGACUUUUUGUGGUCAACUUCACGUUCAUUGUUAAUGGAUGAUCAGUAGGACCAAAGAUGGAAUUUUGGAGUGGGGAACCCAACAAUGGUAUGGAAAUUUCAAAACUUUAACGUUAGUCAUUCUUUUCCUACAAAAAAAGGUGCAAUUUAAUUCAAGUAAAGUAAGUUAUUGUUGAAACAGCUCUGAGCCUGACCAAUGAGGAAACAGGGCUUGGCUGCUUCCUCUGAGUGGAUUUGAUUUCCUAUAAUCAACCUGCUUGGUCUCUAAAAUCCUCCAAGUAAAAUCAGUAAAAUCCACCGAUUAGUGAAAUCUGGAGUUAAAAGAGAUGUUGAGAAUGGCAGGAACACACUUUCUGGAUUCGUUUUUCUCAGCAAAACUUAGGCCACUGUAGCGAGAGAUGCUCAGCACUGGGCUCUGGUGGUUUGGGGAGAAGGGUCCUUGUCACUGUCCCAAAGCAUGGACUUUCCCAAGGACACGCUUCCUGUGGGUCAGAGUGAACGUGCUGAUGAGCUGUGCAAACCCACACCUGGAUGUGUGUUGGGGGGGAGGGGCGCAGGAGGCAUCGGCAAGAGCACUGGCCAGGGCAUCGCCCAGGUGACCGGGGGUUAACUCAGCCCAGUGAGCUGGAUUCCUCCACUGUUGCUUACAGGGUUUCUGGGAGCUUACAAAUAACAGACGACAGGCCUUCCCAGGCUCUGACCUCAACCAGUGCUCAUUAGUGUUGUCCUUGUCAGGUUAUUAGCGGCACUAGGAUCUUCAAAGCCAGGCUCGAAGACACCGCAGACAGUCACACGUGCGGGGUUGGGGGUCAGGAAAUCGUGUGUCCUGUUGGCACUGGACAAGAAGCUGGAAUCCAAUUUGCAGGUGGCUCAAAGCCUGAGGAGAUCGUUGGGCUCUGGAGGGACCUCCUCCAGUAGGAAGAUGACUGACCUCCAAUGGUCAGUGCAAACCUGAGGUCCAGAUGCCCACCGCACUGGAGUAGAAAGCCAGGUGGCACAGGACUUCACAGCGCUGGGUGACGGGAAAAGCGGCUGUGCUGACUAUUGGUCUAGUCCAAUAGCCAGGCCAUUCUUGGUGAGGGAAUAAUGCCAGGGCUGGUCAUCCGUGGACAUCAAUCUUACCAGUCAAAAUGCAAGAGAGUGAGUGUCUUCCGAUGAUGAUUUGGCUUCUCAUGCAGUGUGACCACGGAAAGAGAACGUGCCAAACGCGUGGACACAGCUAAAUUCCUUGUUGUAUAUAAUCUUAAGUCUCCCUAAGCCAUCUGUUCAUUUAUUUUUAGUUUUCUGUAUUGUAGGCAAAUAUAACAUGAAAUUGACCAUUUUAACCAUUUUUGAGUGUACAAAUCAGUGGCGUUAAGUAGAUUCACACUGCUGUAAAACCAUCACCACCAUCCAUCUCUAGAACUUUCUUAUUUCAAACAGAAACUCUGCACCCACUAGACACAACUCCCCAUUUCCUCCUUGCCUCACCCCCAGGUUAACCUCUAUUGUACUCUUUCUCUAUGAAUUUGCCUAUUCAGGGUAGCUCAUAGAAGUGGAAUCAUACCAUACUUGUCCUUUCGUGCAUCUAUUCAUUUCCAAAUUUCAUUUUGUUUCACCAUCAAAGCAUUUACUAGGAGGUAACCUCAAAUGAUGCUAUAAAGGGUAGUACCUUACAUUUGUGUGACGCUUUGCACCUUCUAAGAAUUGUCUAAUGUAUUAGCCUGUUUGAGUCUUGUAACAAUUCUUUAAGGCGAGCACAGGUCUUGUUACCUUAAUGAGCCUGAGGUUGUCUAUAGUCACACAGCAAGUGGCUGAAUUAGGACGAGAAUGCCCGGCUCUGCACACUCUUAUUACCUUUUCUAGAGUCUGGCAACUUCUCAGAAGUUGGAGGUAAUUCCUCUCCUCUGGAAUCUAAAUGUAAAGCUCAAGUAACUAUGUUUUGUAUAAGCAAAGAAAGAAUCAUGUUGAAUUUGUGAGCAUGUAGUGAGGGGAGAGUCAUUACAGGGGAUGGGGGUGUGUGGCCAGGACCCCCUGGUGGAGGCCAGACGUGGGCAGGGGCCGUCAUCUUCAGGAUCAAGGUCUCCACCGGUGCUCCAAGCUUCCCUUGCCUCAGGCCCACUGCCUCUACCAGGGUUUUCUCCCAGUGGGAGGGGUGAGGAGGCACAAGAUAGGCUCUUCCAAACAAGUUGGGCAUUUCUCCAGGAGCCAGAAAAAUCCACCAGUGCUCAAGCAGGCUGGAAGAUGAUUCUGUUUUUCCAAGCUCUGGAAUAAUGAAGACUGCACUGUGUACAUGUUUGCAAACAAGAAGGAACAAUACGCGCAUUCAACAUGUAGCAUUUUAUUUGCAGCUCCAUUGUGCAGGACAGUCAUUUGUUAGGACUUGAUUAUAGCUGUCACUUUGUGCAAAAACUGGGGAGCGUGGGCCCUGCUCGGAAACGAAGGCUCGCCGACUUGUGAACUGCAAAGGUCCGUCUUUCCCAUUGGGCACUAAUGAUUCUCACGAAGGUAGGCGGGGGAGCUUGGUUUAAACAGAGAGAAGUUGACAACCGCAGAGUAAACAAGACCAUCACCAAUGCAUCUGCUAGUUGUCCUCUGAGUUUGACGGGUUCUCGCUUUAAAGUGGCAGCUCUAUGUGCAUGCAUGAGUAUUAGAACUGCACUUGCAAUGGUGAGGCUAACAUUUGCUUUGAUGCAGGAAUGCUAAUUUCCUCUUGACUCAAGUAAGUCAGAGAAUAGGAGAACCAUGGCCGUCCCAGGGAUUUUGUCAGUGAGGCUUCAAAGGGUGAGGGCACCAUCCAGCCAGCCAGCCAGCCAUUGCCCCUUGAGGGAGAGCUCUUCUGACAAAUCCUUGAAGCCUGGGGCCCCUCCCUUCUGGGCCUUGCUGCCUCCCAGUGAGUACAGGUUGCUGGGAAUUUGGGGCUUAGGAUCUCUGAGGAACAUCAGCUAUAUACAAUUUCUCAAACUUGCACCACCCACCACCUGAAUCUUUCCUCCUAUCGAUAACCUAGAGUGGCUUGCAGUGAUAAAAAUAAUAUGAAUGAUGUCAAACACUCAUGGCUGUGUCCGAUAGGCCAGGCACUAUUUUAAACGUUUCACCUUUAGUAACUCACUUUUUUGUUCUCAUAACUCCAAACAAGGCAAUUGCUGUCAUCACCAUUCACAUUUUACAGAGAAGAUGCUCAGAGUCUCAGACACUGGUGGAGCAGCACCCCCCACCCAGUCAUGCUUCCAAGCAGUGGGCUGGACUGCCUCUCAAGGUAGCCCAGCCCCGGCCAAGUCCGACCACUUACUUCUGGGCCGCCUGUGGGGAAAACACACAUUCCACUAGAAUUACUCAUGUGAACAAAACUGCAAAGGCCAGCUGGGGGACAUACUCGAAUAACAUCCUGCUCACAACGGUCAUGAACACAGAAUAAAAUACCCAAGCAGAUAGUUAGCAAGAAAGGUACCGGACUUGAAACUAUGAACUAUGUAAUUGUGUCUAGCUGGGUAGCAAUACAUGUCAAAGUCCUCAUAACUAUUCGGUAGUCAGAAAAGUCAUGACAUAUUUUUUCUGUAUUUUUCAUUGCAAAAAUGCGUCAUGACUUUUCCGACAACCCAAUAUAUAAUUUUUGACCCCAAAAUGUCUCUUCUGGGGAUGUAUGCCAAGGAAAUAGUCAUCAAUAAGAACAAGGGUUCACUCACAAGAAUGUUUAUCCCAAUACUGCUUAUAAAAGUAAGAAACUGGAAACAAACUAAAUGGACAGGCAGGGGUGAAACAAUAGACUAAGUCAGUUAUGCUACACACACGCGUGUUGGACACAAGCGUGGGUGCCUCCUGAUUCCCUGGACAGUCUGCUUCGUUCCAUCUUUUGGCCUUGCCAACCCACCCGCACACAGUCACUCUCUGUUACUGGGCCUCACAGCUUCCUGGGCAAACACCAAGGCACUGGAUGACACCACAGGGUGAUGCAUGUGACCCCUGACCUACUGGAAACAGGAAACAUGCAGGAAUGGGGCAGAUACACCCCGUCUACUUUCCCCCCCAGGAACUACUUCAUGGUGAGGUUCCUCCUUGCAGCCCUUCUGAGGAGCUCCCAAUACCAAAAAAACAAGUCCGGGGAGUGGCCUGUUGUAUCUAUUUGCAGCUUGUCCUGAAAUUGAGGCCAGCCAGAUGGGGACUCAUCACAGGGCAUUGCUUUGUGUUUGUCUUUCCUUUUCGUCUCACUACCUAGACCCUGGGCCCCACACCUCCCAAAUAAAGUAUCAGCGCUUUAAUCCUUGCCUAACACUGUAUUUUCUAGAGGGCCCAUGUUUAAACAAAACACUCAGCCGUUAUCUAAAACGACGUUGAAGACUGUAUUGUUUAUAUACAUAUAUUAUUUUCUGUAUUAUUAUGAUGUUUUCACAUCUUAAGAAC